AACGAACGCUGGCGGCAGGCUUAACACAUGCAAGUCGAGCGCCCCGCAAGGGGAGCGGCAGACGGGUGAGUAACGCGUGGGAAUCUACCCAUCUCUACGGAAUAACGCAUGGAAACGUGUGCUAAUACCGUAUACGUCCUUCGGGAGAAAGAUUUAUCGGAGAUGGAUGAGCCCGCGUUGGAUUAGCUAGUUGGUGGGGUAAAGGCCUACCAAGGCGACGGUCCAUAGCUGGUCUGAGAGGAUGAUCAGCCACACUGGGACUGAGACACGGCCAAGACUCCUACGAGAGGCAGCAGUGGGGAAUAUUGGACAAUGGGCGCAAGGCUGAUCCAGCCAUGCCGCGUGAGUGAUGAAGGCCCUGGGGUUGUAAAGCUCUUUCACCGGUGAAGAUAAUGACGGUAACCGGAGAAGAAGCCCCGGCUAACUUCGUGCCAGCCGCCGCGGUAAAAC
rnacentral:rRNA from 1 species